rnacentral:piRNA from 2 species
UAACACUGUACUGGAGUGACGUUCUCAUA